rnacentral:miRNA from 1 species
ACCCUGUAGCUGCCAAGGGGCG